GUUCUUAAACAUCAUCUUCGCAGCAAUAAACAAAGACCACAAGGCCUCUCUCUCUCUCUCUCAAGUCUGAGACUUGGUGUCUGAAAGAAGAAAUCUGCCCACUGUCGAGAUGUUCUAGUGAAUAAGAAGGCCGCAGUCUAUAGUGACCUGAAGCACAUCAGAUAUUUAAAAUUGGGAAAACCUUCAGUAUAACAAGAUGUCCUCCAACUCCUUUAAUGGCAUUGAAUAAAAAUCAAUUAUUUGUAAUUUACCUUAAAAUGAGUUGGGCCCCCAAAAUCAGGACCCAUCUGUCUUCUGCACAGACCAAACAGACAAGAUGAAUGAAGAAGAUUACUUCAUCAUCCAUGCAUCUUUCAAGUCCUUGAUGGUCAAAGCAAAUCACUCAGCCAAACAUGGGAUAAUUAAUCCUGCCAUCUUAAAUAUACUUCAGAGAGAGAAAAUGGAGAAUUUGGAAAAUAGUAAUAAAAUACACUAUAUCAUCUGACCUGUAUGGACUUCCACCCUGACUGAUGGAUCACAAUGGCAUUUUGGAACCCUAGGAAGUAGUAUCAGCUUAGAGGCAGUGGACGAUAAUCCCAGAAAAGUCUGGGAAUUUUUCAGUAAAAGACAUAUAUUAUAUAGUUACAGCAAGGACCAUAGGAGUUGUCCUCCAGGAGACAGAUCUUCCCUUCUAAUCAAUGGGUUUCAGAUUCGAGAAUGAGCUUGGGUCUAGAAUAGCAAAUAACAUUAGCUCUCCAUUUUAAACCUUUACUUAUAGACCUAGAACUUUUACAUUUUACAGAUGAAGCAAAACCUUGUCACAUAAAAGUCAAGUUGCCCAUCUAUAUCAGUCUUAGGGAUCAAUUUUUCAUGUCUUCAUGAUCAAUUAGCCAUCUUUUAAAAUGUGUAUAGAU